AGAGUUUGAUCAUGGCUCAGGAUGAACGCUAGCGGCAGGCCUAAUACAUGCAAGUCGAACGGGAUUUGAGUAGCAAUACUUAAUGAGAGUGGCGCACGGGUGCGUAACGCGUAUGCAACCUACCUUUAACAGGGGGAUAGCUCCGAGAAAUCGAAAUUAAUACCCCAUAGAAUUAUUGAUUGGCAUCAAUUAAUAAUUAAAGCUCCGGCGGUUAAAGAUGGGCAUGCGUGCCAUUAGCUAGUUGGUGAGGUAACGGCUCACCAAGGCAACGAUGGCUAGGGGUUCUGAGAGGAUUAUCCCCCACACUGGUACUGAGACACGGACCAGACUCCUACGGGAGGCAGCAGUAAGGAAUAUUGGGCAAUGGACGCAAGUCUGACCCAGCCAUGCCGCGUGCAGGAAGACAGCCCUAUGGGUUGUAAACUGCUUUUGUCAGGGAAUAAACCCCCGGAUGUAUCCGGGGCUGAAUGUACCUGAAGAAUAAGCAUCGGCUAACUCCGUGCCAGCAGCCGCGGUAAUACGGAGGAUGCGAGCGUUAUCCGGAUUCAUUGGGUUUAAAGGGUGCGCAGGCGGAUUAUUAAGUCAGUGGUGAAAUCCUACAGCUCAACUGUAGAACUGCCAUUGAUACUGAUAAUCUUGAGUGUAUAUGAAGUGGGCGGAAUGUAGCAUGUAGCGGUGAAAUGCAUAGAUAUGCUACAGAACACCAAUUGCGAAGGCAGCUCACUAAACUACAACUGACGCUCAUGCACGAAAGCGUGGGGAUCAAACAGGAUUAGAUACCCUGGUAGUC
rnacentral:rRNA from 1 species